rnacentral:rRNA from 1 species
GACGAACGCUGGCGGCAUGCCUAAUACAUGCAAGUCGAGCGAACAGAUGAAGUGCUUGCACUUCUGACGUUAGCGGCGAACGGGUGAGUAACACGUAAGGAAUCUACCUAUAAGCGGGGGAUAACAUUCGGAAACGGGUGCUAAUACCGCAUAAUAUCUUCUUCCGCAUGGAAGAAGAUUGAAAGACGGCUCUGCUGUCACUUAUAGAUGACCUUGCGGUGCAUUAGUUAGUUGGUGGGGUAACGGCCUACCAAGACGAUGAUGCAUAGCCGACCUGAGAUGGUGAUCGGCCACAUUGGCACGGAGACACGUCCCAAACUCCUACGGGAGGCAGCAGUAGGGAAUCUUCCGCAAUGGGCGAAAGCCUGACGGAGCAAUGCCGCGUGAGUGAAGAAGGCCUUCGGGUCGUAAAACUCUGUUAUAAGAGAAGAACAAAUUGUAGAGUAACUGCUACAGUCUUGACGGUAUCUUAUCAGAAAGCCACGGCUAACUACGUGCCAGCCGCCGCCGUAA